rnacentral:lncRNA from 1 species
CAUGUUUGAGAUUGGCAAUAAUGAUGGUGCCUCCAUCAUGAUUGCAUGACCACUGUCAUAGUCGUUGUGGAGUAAUCUCCUCCACGUGUGAGGGUCCAUACAUCAUAUGCGGAGUACUCAGCGAUUGGGCGUACAUACUUCACAACAUCGUUCACGUGAAACACGGGGCUCAGCUGCGUCUUUUUAAGGCUGAAAUUAUUUUUCUAAAUUUUAGAUCUUCUGUUCACGUGAAACACGAUCAAACAUUUAACAAAUCAACAUGUUCCGUCUCGAUAAAAGCCUUUAUGUCUUCCUGAUCGCUAAAAUUUAUAAAUGAACCCUGGCCUCUAGGACAGACUUUGAGGUUGCAACCGAACAAAGCCAUCUCUGGUCAGACUCGGCGGCUGCAUCAUUCUUACUCCCUCCUUCCCAAGAUCUUAGGCGUAUUAGCUUUUGCAUAUAAUUUCAUAAUGUUGGAUGCAGAUGAUUUUUGCUCUCGUGCAGUCAAAGCAAAGCUCAGAAUCGCUAUUUGUAUGGAAAUUGAAAAGGUCUUUUAAUGGGUCUAUAGUACAGUUAGCUCUCAUUUCCCAUGUCACCCCUCUCUCUCCCUCACAAGAUCGACCUCCUUUAAUUUUCAUGCUAAAAACUAAUAGGCCUUAUAAUAUGAGAAGGAGGGAGUACCAUCUACCCUUGUACAUAUGUAGGGCUGCAUCAAUAUAAGAGCAUCUCUAGCAGACACCAUAAAAGAGUUGAACCCGUAAAAUUCUGACGAGUAUACGAGUUCGGUCCGUUUUAGUGACCAGAAUAGACCAUGUAUCUGGCGUCCUCUCCAUAAAUUUUUUAUCAUGGGCCACAAAAAGAUCCCUUGAGCCGGCAUAUAUGCGGUUUUACAGCGCGUUUACAGAUCGAACACUAACCUCCGCGGCUGCAGCUUCGCCGCGAUUCAAACCCCCACCCCGCCCUAAUUUCUCGGCGCCGGCAAGACACAAAACCACCAGCGGGCUGUCCCGACCAUGGACGGCCACAGAAAUGAAGGGGAUGACACCGAGCACCGUCGUCGCCGCGUCUCCGACGCCGCACGCAAGCGGGGAUCCCGGAGGUGGCUGAAGUAUGGCCUCCAGCCGUCGUCGGCUUUCGAGCGCCGCCAGCACGAGCUCGCGGCUCGACGUGUUAGCUCCUCCGGCUCCUCUGCUGCUGGGAAUUCGUCCACGGGCGCAUCGUCGUCGCGGACCAUAACUCUGGUGAGGAGAAGGACGGAGGAGCUCGGGCUGCUCGGACGACGCCGGCGAGCUGCGUGGAGGGAUCAUCGGCCCCGAGGAUUACCUCCCCUCGGGAUAGGAGGAUCACCUCAUGCGCGCCAUCAUGAAGCGCUCGGUGAGGGAGGCGGUGGAGGACGACGCGCGCAACCGCGGCGAGCUCGAACUCGAGCAGAUCUUUCUCGAGCAAGGGGUCACGGCGUCGCAGGCGAGCACGUCCAAGGUGACGAUCCUACGCAUGUUGAAGGCCGAGCAGGACAAGAUCUGAAUCGACCUCGACUCCACCUCCGACGAGGAGUAACCAUGACUUCACAACAUAUACGUUUGUAAUUGGCAAUAAUGAUGGUGCCUCCAUCAUGACUGCAUGACCACUGUCAUAGUCGUUGUGUAGUAAUCUCCUUCACGUGUGAGGGUCCAUACAUGAUACUCAGCGAUUGGGCGUACAGACUUCACAACAUCGUUCACGUGAAACACGCGGCUCAGCUGUAUCUUUUUUAUGCUGAAAUUAUUUUUCUAAAUUUUAGAUCUUUUGUUCACGUGAAACACGAUCAAAUAUUUAACAAAUCAACAUGUUCCUUCUCGAUAAAAGUCUUUAUUUCUUCUUGAUCGCUAAAAUCUAUAAAUGAACCCUGGCCUCUAGGACAGACUUUGAGGUUGCAACCGAACAAAUCCAUCUCUUGCCAGACUCGGCGGUUGCAUCAUUCUUACUCCCUCCUUCCCAAGAUCUCGCUUCAGUGCACUGCACACACGUCGUGCUGGAGUUUGUCCACGUAUAGGUCUGUUAGUUUGGACAUGCGAGUUCACAUUCAAAUAUCUUGACCUUUAAUUUUCUUCCAUUCAUUCCAAUCCAUUUGACGUGUAAUGGAUAAAAUCAGCAGAAACAUUCAGCAACUAUUUCUCUCUCACAAAUGUCCCAUUUUUACUUCGAGCUAUGUCUGCGAACAAAAUACCGGAGGCCGUCAUCCAAUAUUGCCCGCAUACAUUUCAACAAUAAAUUAAACUAACCAG